GCUAGGAUGUUGGUGUUGGGACAUCCACUAGAGAUCCUUUUUAUUUAUCAUCAACACCAGUAAAGAAACCUUCAAAGAGAUCUCGUCUCAACCUGGACGAGGAGCAGGAGCGGGAUUCAGAUCCAUUACAGGACACCUCUUCAGUGGCAUCUUCAAAAGGGCAGGACUCCACCUAUGACCAUUCAAACUCUUUGACAUUUCCUUUGACUCUGUCAAUAUGGUUCUAACUAUGACAAUAUGACACAUUUCGCCGGCAUGCCAGAUCCUUCAUUGAGCCUGCAGUCAUUCGCCACUGGAAGACACUGCAGGAUGUGAUGCUGCAGCGGCUCAGUCAGGAGGACAAAGUAAUCGUUGGUGGCGACAUGAGGGCAGACUCUCCAGGUUUUUAUAUUUCAUUGAAAUUAAAGACUCUACCUGGCUGCCAUGUAUUAUAAUGAAAACGUCAACCGACCACAAGCCAAAACAAACAAAGGGUAUGUUGCUGAGAUGAUGGACCUCAUUUUUGAAGAAAUCUUCAAGGAUCCGGCUCCAUACACAGAGGCAGUCCUGGCCAUCCCCAUUCCAGAGGACCUCACUGCACAGUUCAGCGGCCUGACACAGAGGAGG